AGUCAAAUACUGAGGAAACCAGUCGAUAUUUGCCAAAGAUUGGGCAUGUUCUGGGUGGUCUCAGAUUUUGAAGAAACGACUUUUUUACUGCACAAAAUAGUUUUACAAUCAGUUCCAUCAGACAGCCCCAGGGGCUCUCCUAGGGAAAGGGGCCAAUAGGCAAGGUUGCAUGGGGAUAAGAGAGGCAAGCGGCCAGUGGAAAACGGUUUUUUGUUUUUUUUUUCCUAACAGUUGGGCAUUUCUGUAGCUCUGAAAGCAAACUUGUUUGUUUCAUUUCAACGAUAGAAAAAAAACACUCCUGUUUUGGAAAUGUAACCCAGCAUAAAAAUACAUUUGCAAUGGGGAAAAAGAAAGCAGUUUAGGGCCACCCAGAAGAAAAUAUUUUUUCCCUGAUUUUUUUUUAAUUUGGUAUUUCCCAGUGUGGGUUUGCCUCAUUUUACAAAUAGCUGCCCAUGUCAAGAUGUGGGUAUGUGAUUUAAAUAUUUUAAUUUGAAUCACAUUUUACAUAGUCUAGGAAACUGACAAAAGAAUCCUAUAGAGAAUUGUUUUAUAAAGUGAAUAACUGCUUCUCUACCUACCCGCCCCUCUCAUUCUUCUUUUCUGUGCGUGUUUUUGGGGGGCUGUUAUGGGAUAAAUCUUGUUUGGCUUAAAAAUCACUAAAACGCAGCCUUUCAAAUCCAAAACAGAGAGCUUAGGUACCCAACAUUCUAUAGAAUGUAUUAUUUCCUCAAGAGGUUGCUAGGAACAGUUAUGUAGAUCUACCAGGUGCAGGGAAGCACUCCACACCCUCACCCAGGUCCUGUAUCCCUGCAAGACUGCGUUGGAAAGACUGAAGAGAGCUGACAAGCCAUAGCAGGACGGCUAUCCCCUGAGAGAUAGGAGAGGAGGAGAAACAGCCUGACAGGGGCCUGGAGCAGCUGGCUGGCGUCAGUAAUUUCCUGCAGGAGACUCUGCUGGCCGAGCACACAUCACCCUUCUGUUGCUCCUCUGUAUUCUCCCUUGUGCUACUAAAAUACGCUAAUGUAACUCCUGGGCUGUGCUAAGCUAAAUGCAGUUAUUUAACCUCAUUUCUAUGGAACCCAGGUCUAAAGCAGCAACAUCUAUUUGGAACAAGAUGGGGAGGAGCAAGAGUGAAUUCAUGCUCUUCUUCAUGGAGGUGGAUGUUUCUGGAAGGAGGUUUGUGAUGUCCUUUGCAGGGACAUGGAUGGAGUUGGAAGCCCUUAUCCUCAGCAAACUAAUGCAGGAACAGAAAACCAAACACUGCAUGUUCUUACUUAUAAGUGGGAACUGAAUGAUGAGAACACAUGGACACAUAAGGGGAAAUGACACACACUGGGGCCUGUCAGAGCUGAGGGGUUGUGGGGAGAGGGAGAGAAUCAGGAAUAAUGGCUAAUGUAUGCUGUGCUUAAUAUCUAGGUGAUGGGAUGAUCUGUGCAGCAAACCACCAUGGCA
ensembl:lncRNA GNAO1-DT GNAO1 divergent transcript